rnacentral:ncRNA from 1 species
GCUAAGCUCCCUUCCGACGGUUCCCUCCGGGGAUCAAAAGGGAACGCGGUGAGGGCGAGAGCCCGAUGCCGCGGCUGCCCCCGCAACUGUAAGCGGCGAGCCUUCCAUCACCUUACGUCACUGGGGAUCCCGAAAGGUCCCUGGGAAGACGAUGGCAGGCGCUGACCCGUGAGCCAGGAGACCUGCCGUCAGCCGUGGUCACAC